CUCCUGUCCCGGCGGCCGCCGUGGCCAAUCCCAGGGCCGCAUGCAAAUGAGGGGGCGGGUCAUACGGCGGCCAGCGCAGGCAGGGCUGCCCUUCCCCCUGCUCCCCCGCUUCGGCUUCGCCUGCUCGCCCGGAAAUGCGGCUGCGACCCGCAGCCUAGCCCGGAGGCCGGUCGGUGCCCCGGGCCUGAUUUCGCUUUUAACUACCCCCGGCGCUCGAAGAGACAAGGAUUCUAACCCGACGACAUGGGGUUAGUAGGCGUCUAUACGCACCCUCCCGAGAAACAGUCGUCAUUGUCUUCGUUUAUCCACUGGCCAGUCUGGUCACCCUGCCCCACAGUCCCGUAGUUUCUCCGCUUGGCCAGGUUCUGAGGUUUGGAGAAGAGAUCCUCUCCAGAGAUUAUCCCGAUGGCCUGACUGGCGGGACAGGUUCUUGUCGUGGGAUACCACCACCACGCCAUCCCGUGUGAGCUGGCAGUCAAGUUCCAGGAGAUCUGCUCGCUGGGCCAUGGAACUACGGGAGCAAAGGGGCUUCCAGACACGCAAAUUAGGAAGUGAGUAAAGAGCGCCCUCGGCUGCCCUGCAGAGCUCACCCCACAACCUGACAUGUCGGACUUACUUCUCUAUGGCCUCCAUGGUAUUCUCCAGCCGUUCUCCAGACCCUGUGGGAGGCAGUUUGGGUGGGACCCUGGGGCCUGGCCUGACCUUCCUGCCUCCCUCUCUUCCUGAUGGCUUCCACUUGCUUCAGGUUUCCUCUCUUCCCAUCAGCCAGGUUGAGCUGGCCUCUCCUUCUCCAUCGCGUGCCCUCCAGGCCCCCGUGACUCCCCUUACCCCCGUCUUUACCAUUCCCUCACACCUUGUACCUCCACUCUGUGCUGCCCACUGGGGCACCUGUCUCCUCAGGC